rnacentral:rRNA from 1 species
AUUGAACGCUGGCGGCAGGCUUAACACAUGCAAGUCGAGCGGAGAUGAGGUGCUUGCACCUUAUCUUAGCGGCGGACGGGUGAGUAAUGCUUAGGAAUCUGCCUAUUAGUGGGGGACAACAUUCCGAAAGGAAUGCUAAUACCGCAUACGCCCUACGGGGGAAAGCAGGGGAUCUUCGGACCUCGCGCUAAUAGAUGAGCCCAAGUCGGAUUAGCUAGUUGGUGGGGUAAAGGCCUACCAAGGCGACGAUCUGUAGCGGGUCUGAGAGGAUGAUCCGCCACACUGGGACUGAGACACGGCCCAGACUCCUACGGGAGGCAGCAGUGGGGAAUAUUGGACAAUGGGGGGAACCCUGAUCCAGCCAUGCCGCGUGUGUGAAGAAGGCCUUAUGGUUGUAAAGCACUUUAAGCGAGGAGGAGGCUACUGAGACUAAUACUCUUGGAUAGUGGACGUUACUCGCAGAAUAAGCACCGGCUAACUCUGUGCCAGCCGCCGCGGUAAUAC